AGGGCGGUCCUGCACAGCCAAGCCGCUGCUCCCGCCACGAGUUACCGGCGGGUCGGGUGGGCCCUGGGCGGGGUGCUAACCCUUUCAGUGCUUCAGUCCUCCCUCAGUAGGGAAAGGAACAAGAUGCAAGCAUGUCGAAGAACAGUAGGAAGACAUCAAGGUCCGUGAAGAAGUCCCAGAUGGAAGGGAAGAGGAGAUGCCUUGUUUUCUGCUGAAAUCCUCUUGAUGUUUCCACCAUCCCUGUGCAUUGGAGUCCCUUGCUAAAUGGAUGUGGGCGCCCAAGCUUGUCUCCAGUUAAGAAGGCCUACUUCUUCCAUAUAUCCAGGUCAGACAUAAACACUGUAGCUGAAACGCUGUCAUGAUUUUAUGACUGAGAAAAGAGAUUUGUUGGCAUGUGGACCAAGGAGGAAAGAACCAGUUCUCAUUUUUUAGGGGUGUAAAAAGUGCAAUGGAGAGAGAGAACUUUCUUUCCCUUUUGGGUACAGUGUGAUCUAGUGAGCCUCUUGUCCUCCUCUACUGCACAAGGUGUGAGUAGAGCCUGCAGGAAGGAUGACAAAGCUGUUGGGUGGCACUGUCACUUCUUGGCAAUUCUGUGUUCCCAAAGCAUGGGCGUGGCCCAGCUCUCCUGGCAUGGCAGUGCUGUGAAGGUCAGCGCAUGUUGCAUUGGGAAGAGGCAUCCUCC